rnacentral:lncRNA from 1 species
ACCAGAAACAAUAUUCAAUCAAAGAUUGCAUAAGGAAGGUAUCAAAAACAUAAAUACAACUAAGUUAUUACAAUCAUUCAACUCACAUACAUUUACAUAUUACAUCUUUCAUUCUUUUUAGCUUCCAAAUACAAUCUAGCUUUAACAAGAUUAUUACAUUUUUUAUUCCUUGAUUAUAACUUCCAAACACAAUCCAAUUCUUAUUAUUUCAUUACAAUUUGGUUCUUUUCUUUUCUUUGACAUUCC